rnacentral:ncRNA from 1 species
GCCAGCUUGCGCAUGCGCGUGUUGUGUUAGCGGAAGUGGUCUGGGAUGGCCCGCCGUAGACGGUGAGAGUCCGGUACGUGAAAACAUGAUGGGUGUGUGUGGAUGUCGUUCCCGAGUAGCAGCGGGCUCGUGGAAUCUGCUGUGAAUCUGCCGGGACCACCCGGUAAGCCUGAAUACUCUUUGUGACCGAUAGCGGAUAGUACCGUGAGGGAAUGGUGAAAAGUACCCCGGGAGGGGAGUGAAAUAGUACCUGAAACCGUGCGCUUACAAUCCGUCAGAGCCUCCUUGUGGGGUGAUGGCGUGCCUUUUGAAGAAUGAGCCUGCGAGUCAGCGGCACGUCGCGAGGUUAACCCGUGUGGGGUAGCCGUAGCGAAAGCGAAUACUAACUAGUGUGGUUGAGUGGCGUGUCCUGGACCCGAAGCGGGGUGAUCUACCCAUGGCCAGUGUGAAGCGAUGGUAAGACGUCGUGGAGGCGCGA